rnacentral:rRNA from 1 species
AGCGAACGCUGGCGGCAGGCUUAACACAUGCAAGUCGAACGGGCACUUCGGUGCUAGUGGCAGACGGGUGAGUAACGCGUGGGAACGUGCCUUUCGGUUCGGAAUAAUCCAGGGAAACUUGGACUAAUACCGGCUACGCCCUUCGGGGGAAGGAUUUAUCGCCGAAAGAUCGACCCGCGUCUGAUUAGCUAGUUGGUGAGGUAAAGGCUCACCAAGGCGACGAUCAGUCGCUGGUCUGAGAGGAUGAUCAGCCACGUUGGGACUGAGACACGGCCCAAACUCCUACGGUAGGCAGCAGUGGGGAAUAUUGGACAAUGGGCGCAAGCCUGCUCCAGCCAUGCCGCGUGAGUGAUGAAGUCCUUAGGGUUGUAAAGCUCUUUUGUCCGGGAAGAUAAUGACUGUACCGGAAGAAUAAGCCCCGGCUAACUUCGUGCCAGCAGCCGCCGUAA